CAGUUCGGUCCCUAUCUGCCGUGGACGUUUGAGAUUUGAGAGGGGCUGCUCCUAGUACGAGAGGACCGGAGUGGACGAACCUCUGGUGUUCCGGUUGUCACGCCAGUGGCAUUGCCGGGUAGCUAUGUUCGGAAAAGAUAACCGCUGAAAGCAUCUAAGCGGGAAGCCUCCCUCAAGAUAAGAUUUCUUAGGACGGUCGGAGACCACGACCUCGAUAGAUCGGAUGUGGAA
rnacentral:rRNA from 1 species